CUUUUUUUUUUUCUGACUUUAGGAGAAAGAAGUGCCAGUGUCUCCUCAUUGAGUCAGGGAUGCCUCUCUUUGGGAGCAUAUUCAGCCCGAAGAAGACUCCUCCUCGGAAGUCGGCCUCUCUCUCUAACCUGCACUCUUUAGAUCGGUCAACGCGAGAACUGGAGCUGGGUCUUGACUAUGGAACUCCUACCAUGAACCUGGCGGGGCAAAGCCUGAAGUUUGAAAAUGGCCAGUGGGUGGCAGACUCAGUGAUUAGUGGGGGUGUGGACCGGAGGGAAACUCAGCGCCUGCGCAAACGAAACCAGCAGUUGGAAGAAGAGAACAAUCUCCUGCGGCUGAAGGUGGACAUCCUGCUGGACAUGCUUUCAGAAACCACUGCUGAGUCCCACUUAAAGGACAAGGAACUGGAUGAACUGAAGAUUACCAACCGCAGGAGG
rnacentral:lncRNA from 1 species